rnacentral:misc_RNA from 1 species
CGCACCUUGCACUCUGUUCUGCAGAGUAUGCCUGUUUGAGAAUCUAUAGUAUUUUUCAACAGUAGUUGAAGAUUUGGAUUAUGUUGAUAAACUGAUCUUAAUACUAUAUCUUUUGGUUGUUUGUAUGACGACGUACAUUACCGGAGAGAUGAAGGGUUCGCCCACUUCCUCUGGGAAAUUGUGCUAGUGCUAACAGCUAUAAAGCCAACUUUUUUUUAAAUCUUGGUCUCAAAUCAGGUAGGAAGACCCGCUGAACUUAA